UACGAAGGAUGCGAGCGUUAUCCGGAUUUAUUGGGUUUAAAGGGUGCGUAGGCGGCCUUAUAAGUCAGUGGUGAAAUCCUAUCGCUUAACGAUAGACGUGCCAUUGAUACUGUAGGGCUUGAGUACAGAUGCCGUUGGCGGAAUGUGUCAUGUAGCGGUGAAAUGCUUAGAUAUGACACAGAACACCGAUUGCGAAGGCAGCUCACUAAACUGUAACUGACGCUGAGGCACGAAAGCGUGGGGAGCAAACAGG
rnacentral:rRNA from 1 species